rnacentral:misc_RNA from 1 species
GAUGAAGAACGCAGCGAAAUGCGAUAAGUAAUGUGAAUUGCAGAAUUCAGUGAAUCAUCGAAUCUUUGAACGCACAUUGCGCCCGCCAGUAUUCUGGCGGGCAUGCCUGUUCGAGCGUCAUUUCAACCAUCAAGCCCCCCGGCUUGUGUUGGGGACCUGCGGCUGCCGCAGGCCCUGAAAAGCAGUGGCGGGCUCGCUGUCACACCGAGCGUAGUAGCAUACAUCUCGCUCUGGGCGUGCUGCGGGUUCCGGCCGUUAAACCACCUUCAUAACCCAAGGUUGACCUCGGAUCAGGUAGGAAGACCCGCUGAACUUAAGCAUAUCAAUAAGCGGAGGA